GUCUAUGGCCACACCACACUGAAUGCGCCUGAUCUCGUCUGAUCUCAGAAGCUAAACAGGGUCGGGCCUGGUUAGUACUUGAUGGGAGACUGCAUGGGACUACUGGGUGCUGUAGGCU
rnacentral:rRNA from 1 species